GACGAACGCUGGCGGCGUGCUUAACACAUGCAAGUCGAACGGUAAGGCCCUUCGGGGUACACGAGAGGCGAACGGGUGAGUAACACGUGGGUGAUCUGCCCUGCACUUCGGGAUAAGCCUGGGAAACUGGGUCCAAUACCGGAUAGGACCCUGGGAUGCAUGUCCUGGGGUGGAAAGCUUUUGCGGUGUGGGAUGGGUCCGCGGCCUAUCAGCUUGUUGGUGGGGUGAUGGCCUACCAAGGCGACGACGGGUCGCCGGCCUGGGAGGGGGACCGGCCACCCUGGGACUGGGAUCCGGCCAAGACUCCCACGGGAGGCAGCAGUGGGGAAUGUUGCACAAUGGGCUCAGUCCGAAUGCGGCGCCGCCGCGUGGGGGAUGACGGCCUUGGGGUUGUAACCCUCUUUCAGCACCGACGAAGCGCAAGUGCCGGUGGGUGAAGAAAAAGGCCCGGCAAACUACGCGCCAGCAGCCGCGGUAA
rnacentral:rRNA from 1 species